rnacentral:rRNA from 1 species
GGGCGGGACACGUGAAAUCCUGUCUGAACAUGGGGGGACCACCCUCCAAGCCUAAAUACUCGCACAUGACCGAUAGCGAACAAGUACCGUGAGGGAAAGGUGAAAAGCACCCCGAUUAGGGGAGUGAAACAGUACCUGAAACCGAAUGCUUACAAGCAGUUGGAGCCCCAUAGGGGGUGACAGCGUACCUCUUGCAUAAUGGGUCAGUGACUUAAUUUAUCGAGCAAGCUUAAGCCGUUAGGUGUAGGCGCAGCGAAAGCGAGUCUGAAUAGGGCGAAUGAGUUAGAUGGAUUAGACCCGAAACCCGGCGAUCUAGGCAUGACCAGGUUGAAGGUGCGGUAACACGCACUGGAGGACCGAACCAUUUAAUGUUGAAAAAUUAUUGGAUGAGUUGUGUUUAGGGGUGAAAGGCCAAUCAAGCCGGGAAAUAGCUGGUUCUCCGCGAAAACUAUUGAGGUAGUGCCUCGGAUGUUUUCCUAUGGGGGUAGAGCACUGGAUGGGCUAGGGGGUCGCGAGACCUACCAAACCUAACCAAACUCCGAAUACCAUAGAGACAAGUCCGGGAGACAGACGGCGGGUGCUAAGGUCCGUCGUCAAAAGGGAAACAGCCCUAACCUACAGCUAAGGUCCCCAAGUCAUAUCUAAGUGGGAAAGCAUGUGGGAAUCCCAAAACAACCAGGAGGUUGGCUUAGAAGCAGCCAUCCUUUAAAGAAAGCGUAACAGCUCACUGGUCUAAAUAAGGGUUCCUGCGGCGAAGAUGUAACGGGGCUAAAGUGAUGCACCGAAGCUUAGGGUUCAGAAUUUAUUCUGAGCGGUAGCGGAGCGUUCCGUAAGCGGAUGAAGCCGAAGGGUAACCGACGGUGGACGUAUCGGAAGUGCGAAUGCUGACAUGAGUAGCGACAAACAGUGUGAGAUGCACUGUCGCCGAAAGCCCAAGGGUUCCUGCUUAAAGCUAAUCUGAGCAGGGUGAGUCGGCCCCUAAGACGAGCCCGAAGGGGGUAGUCGAUGGGAACACGGUUAAUAUUCCGUGACCUGGUGGAAUGUGACGGAUCUCGUGUGUUGUCUGAUCUUAUUGGAUUGAUCAGGCUUCGAAGAGGUUCCAGGAAAUAGCUCCACCAUAUAGACCGUACCCUAAACCGACACAGGUGGGCAGGUAGAGUAUACCAAGGCGCUUGAGAGAAGUAUCCUGAAGGAACUCGGCAAAUUACCUCCGUAACUUCGGGAGAAGGAGGCCCUGUCAGAAGGCAACUUUUGGCAGGGGGCACAAGCUGGGGGGUAGCGACUGUUUAGCAAAAACACAGGACUCUGCUAAGUCGGCUUCAAGACGACGUAUAGGGUCUGACGCCUGCCCGGUGCUCGAAGGUUAAGAGGAGGAGUGCAAGCUCUGAAUUGAAGCCCGAGUAAACGGCGGCCGUAACUAUAACGGUCCUAAGGUAGCGAAAUUCCUUGUCGGG